rnacentral:rRNA from 1 species
GACGAACCGUGCGAACGUUGUUCGGAUUCACUGGGCUUAAAGGGCGCGUAGGCGGGCAAGCAAGUCCGGGGUGAAAUCUUUCGGCUCAACCGGAAAAGUGCCUUGGAUACUGCUUGUCUUGAGGGAGGUAGGGGUCAUGGGAACUUCCGGUGGAGCGGUGAAAUGCGUUGAUAUCGGAAGGAACGCCGGUGGCGAAAGCGCAUGACUGGAUCUCUUCUGACGCUGAGGCGCGAAAGCGUGGGGAGCAAACAGGG